AUGGCCUAUGUCGUGUUGCGCAUCCUCUUUCACGACCAGGUUCGUGCGCGCGAGAAAUAUGGCGAAUGGGCGCAGGUGCUGUACUACGCGGUGACGGCGCUGCUGGGGGGCGGCCAUGAGGGCGUCUAUGCCGCCGUCGAGCGCCCGCUGCAGCUCGCGCAGACCGCUGCCGUCAUAGAGAUUCCUCAUGGGCUUGUAGGGUUGGUGAGGUCUCCGGUCUCUGCCACUCUUCCACAAAUAGGAUCAAGAUUGUUUCUUACAUGGGGCAUCUUGUGGAGCUUUCCUGAGACACAAUCUCAUAUUCUUGUAACUUCUUUGGUCAUAAGCUGUAAUGUAACUCAUCUUGUCUCUGGUGUAGGGUGCAUGAAUGCCACUUCUUCCACCAGCAACCCUCCCCUCUACGCCCAGCCUAUGGAACACUUCGACGCCACCUUUGGAGCCGCCAAUGCCUUCCUGCAGAUGACUGAUGAGCUGAUAUUCUUCCACCAGUGGUGGCGGGAGGUGAUGCUGGAGCAGUAA
rnacentral:rRNA from 1 species